rnacentral:rRNA from 1 species
UGGGGAAUAUUGCACAAUGGGCGCAAGCCUGAUGCAGCCAUGCCGCGUGUGUGAAGAAGGCCUUCGGGUUGUAAAGCACUUUCAGCGGGGAGGAAGGCGAUAAGGUUAAUAACCUUGUCGAUUGACGUUACCCGCAGAAGAAGCACCGGCUAACUCCGUGCCAGCAGCCGCGGUAAUACGGAGGGUGCAAGCGUUAAUCGGAAUUACUGGGCGUAAAGCGCACGCAGGCGGUCUGUCAAGUCGGAUGUGAAGUCCCCGGGCUUAACCUGGGAACUGCAUUCGAAACUGGCAGGCUAGAGUCUUGUAGAGGGGGGUAGCAUUCCAGGUGUAGCGGUGAAAUGCGUAGAGAUCUGGAGGAAUACCGGUGGCGAAGGCGGCCCCCUGGACAAAGACUGACGCUCAGGUGCGAAAGCGUGGGGAGCAAACAGG